UCAGGAUCUGUUGUUAUGUCUCCC
rnacentral:piRNA from 1 species